rnacentral:rRNA from 1 species
AGUGAACGCUGGCGGUAGGCCUAACACAUGCGAGUCGAACGGCAGCACAGUAAGAGCUUGCUCUUACGGGUGGCGAGUGGCGGACGGGUGAGGAAUACAUCGGAAUCUACUUUUUCGUGGGGGAUAACGUAGGGAAACUUACGCUAAUACCGCAUACGACCUACGGGUGAAAGCAGGGGAUCUUCGGACCUUGCGCGAUUGAAUGAGCCGAUGUCGGAUUAGCUAGUUGGCGGGGUAAAGGCCCACCAAGGCGACGAUCCGUAGCUGGUCUGAGAGGAUGAUCAGCCACACUGGAACUGAGACACGAUCCAGACUCCUACGGGAGGCAGCAGUGGGGAAUAUUGGACAAUGGGCGCAAGCCUGAUCCAGCCAUACCGCGUGGGUGAAGAAGGCCUUCGGGUUGUAAAGCCCUUUUGUUGGGAAAGAAAAGCAGCAGGUUAAUACCCCGCUGUUCUGACGGUACCCAAAGAAUAAGCACCGGCUAACUUCGUG